rnacentral:rRNA from 1 species
CCUACGGGUGGCAGCAGUGAGGAAUAUUGGUCAAUGGACGAGAGUCUGAACCAGCCAAGUAGCGUGAAGGAUGACUGCCCUAUGGGUUGUAAACUUCUUUUAUAUGGGAAUAAAAUGUUCCACGUGUGGGAUUUUGUAUGUACCAUAUGAAUAAGGAUCGGCUAACUCCGUGCCAGCAGCCGCGGUAAUACGGAGGAUCCGAGCGUUAUCCGGAUUUAUUGGGUUUAAAGGGAGCGUAGGUGGAUUGUUAAGUCAGUUGUGAAAGUUUGCGGCUCAACCGUAAAAUUGCAGUUGAAACUGGCAGUCUUGAGUACAGUAGAGGUGGGCGGAAUUCGUUGUGUAGCGGUGAAAUGCUUAGAUAUCACGAAGAACUCCGAUUGCGAAGGCAGUUCACUGGACUGCAACUGACACUGAGGCUCGAAAGUGUGGGUAUCAAACAGGAUUAGAUACCCUUGUAGUC